rnacentral:rRNA from 1 species
UACGAAGGGGGCUAGCGUUGUUCGGAAUUACUGGGGCGUAAAGCGCACGUAGGCGGACUUUUAAGUCAGAUGUGAAAUCCCGGGGCUCAACCUCGGAACUGCAUUUGAAACUGGAAGUCUGGAGUUCAGGAGAGGUUAGCGGAAUACCGAGUGUAGAGGUGAAAUUCGUAGAUAUUCGGUGGAACACCAGUGGCGAAGGCGGCUAACUGGACUGAUACUGACGCUGAGGUGCGAAAGUGUGGGGAGCAAACAGG